rnacentral:rRNA from 1 species
UAUAGUUCUUCGGAACUAGAGACCGGCGCACGGGUGCGUAACGCGUAUGCAAUCUACCUUUUACAGGGGAAUAGCCCAGAGAAAUUUGGAUUAAUGCCCCAUAGUAUAGUUUUUUCGCAUGAAGAGAUUAUUAAAGUUCCAACGGUAAAAGAUGAGCAUGCGUCCCAUUAGCUAGAUGGUAAGGUAAUGGCUUACCAUGGCGACGAUGGGUAGGGGUCCUGAGAGGGAGAUCCCCCACACUGGUACUGAGACACGGACCAGACUCCUACGGGAGGCAGCAGUGAGGAAUAUUGGUCAAUGGACGCAAGUCUGAACCAGCCAUGCCGCGUGCAGGAUGACGGUCCUAUGGAUUGUAAACUGCUUUUGUACGAGAAGAAACACUCCUACGUGUAGGAGCUUGACGGUAUCGUAAGAAUAAGGAUCGGCUAACUCCGUGCCAGCAGCCGCGGUAAUACGGAGGAUCCAAGCGUUAUCCGGAAUCAUUGGGUUUAAAGGGUCCGUAGGCGGUUUAGUAAGUCAGUGGUGAAAGCCCAUCGCUCAACGGUGGAACGGCCAUUGAUACUGCUAAACUUGAAUUAUUAGGAAGUAACUAGAAUAUGUAGUGUAGCGGUGAAAUGCUUAGAGAUUACAUGGAAUACCAAUUGCGAAGGCAGGUUACUACUAAUGGAUUGACGCUGAUGGACGA